rnacentral:rRNA from 1 species
UACGAAGGGUGCAAGCGUUAAUCGGAAUUACUGGGCGUAAAGGGUGCGCAGGCGGUUAUAUAAGACAGAUGUGAAAUCCCCGGGCUCAACCUGGGAACUGCGCUUGUGACUGUAUGACUAGAGUACGGUAGAGAGGGGUGGAAUUCCUGGUGUAGCAGUGAAAUGCGUAGAUAUCAGGAGGAACAUCGAUGGCGAAGGCGGCAUCCUGGACCAACACUGACACUGAGGAGCGAAAGCCAGGGGAGCAAACGGG